rnacentral:tRNA from 1 species
GCCCAGGUGGUGGAAUUGGCAGACACGCUAGCCCUAGGAGCUAGUACCCUUAAAGGUGUGAGAGUUCAAAUCUCUCCCUGGGCA